CUGGAAAAGCGCUUAAUUUAAUCCUAAAUUAGAAAGGAGAUCAUUAAGAAUAUCUUUAUGAGGAAAAGUCAUCUGACGAGGACCACAACAUGGGAGGAUCCGCGAAAAACAGCAGCAGCCGUGAGUGUUGCAGCCGUUGCAGCAGCGGUAGAAAGCGGAAAAACUGCUACGGCUAGCAGCACUCUUGGCCCUCUUCCCGAUGGGUGGGAGCAAGCAAGAACUUCCGAGGGUGAAAUUUAUUUUAUAAACCAUCAGACCCGCACCACCUCCUGGUUUGACCCAAGGAUUCCGUCACAUCUCCAGCGAGCUCCCACAUCUGGAGCAAUGCUGCCACAAAAUUGGAUACAGCAACCCGGUGCAGGGGCCAUUCCAAGUAAUCAAACCCUUCAAGCCUGUCAACAAAAAUUGCGACUGCAAUCCCUUCAAAUGGAGCGUGAGCGUCUUAAACAGCGUCAGCAAGAGAUUAUGCGCCAGCAAGAAUUAAUGAUCCGGCAAAGUACGACCGAUGCUGCGAUGGAUCCAUUUUUAUCCGGCAUUAGUGAACAACAUGCGCGUCAAGAAAGUGCAGAUAGUGGUUUAGGACUUGGAUCGGCGUAUUCUCUACCUCAUACGCCCGAGGAUUUUCUCGCUAAUAUUGACGAUAAUAUGGACGGCACGAGCGGUCGACGGUGGAGCGCCGAUGGAAACGCCUGAUUUAUCUACUUUAAGCGACAACAUUGAUUCAACGGACGACCUCGUGCCUUCACUUCAGCUUGGCGAAGAAUUCACCAAUGACAUUCUGGAUGAUGUGCAGUCGCUAAUAAAUCCAAACACUAGUAAACCAGAAAAUGUCCUGACGUGGCUGUAGUAUUGGACGGUAAAAUCACAUUCGAAGCGUUAUCGCCAAUAUUAAAAAAAGAAAAUUUAUCGAGGGAUUUUAGACUUUAUCCGAAAACCGUCGCUUCCAUUGGGACAUAAGUGCACCAUAGCUCCGGGUUAAAAAGCCCAUUCCACACACACAAACUCAUUUAUGCGUGUAUGUGUGUACGCGCUUGUAAAUCAAACCAAGUGUACAUAUCUCUGUAUUCUUUCAAUUGUAGCGAGAAACAACCGUGAAAUCGGGAAAGAACGACAAUAAUUUUUCUAUCUGACGAAUGAAUUAAUAAAAACGACCCGCGCCUUCUUUCAUGGUCGGUUUCAAAACAUGAUCACCAUUAUUGUAAAAUCCAGCUCAAUUCUGGUAUCAUGACAUAUCAGAUUCAGAU